rnacentral:rRNA from 1 species
CUAGUCAUUGCAUAUCAAAAAGCGGAGGAAAAGAAACCAACAGGGAUUGCCUUAGUAGCGGCGAGUGAGCGGCAAAAGCUCAAAUUUGAAAUCUGGCACUUUCAGUGUCCGAGUUGUAAUUUGAAGAAGGUAUCUUUGGGUCUGGCUCUUGUCUAUGUUUCUUGGAACAGAACGUCACAGAGGGUGAGAAUCCCGUGCGAUGAGAUGACCCAGACCUAUGUAAAGUUCCUUCGAAGAGUCGAGUUGUUUGGGAAUGCAGCUCUAAGUGGGUGGUAAAUUCCAUCUAAAGCUAAAUAUUGGCGAGAGACCGAUAGCGAACAAGUACAGUGAUGGAAAGAUGAAAAGAACUUUGAAAAGAGAGUGAAAAAGUACGUGAAAUUGUUGAAAGGGAAGGGCUUGAGAUCAGACUUGGUAUUUUGUAUGUUACUCUCUCGGGGGUGGCCUCUACAGUUUACCGGGCCAGCAUCAGUUUGGGCGGUAGGACAAUUGCAAAGAAAUGUGGCACUGCCUCGGUAGUGUGUUAUAGUCUUUGUCGAUACUGCCAGCCUAGACUGAGGACUGCGGCUUCGGCCUAGGAUGUUGGCAUAAUGAUCUUAAGUCGCCCGUCUUGAAA